UCUAGGGCUACACACGUCCUACAAUGGGGUCGACAGUGGGAUGCAAAGCCGCGAGGUGGAGCCAAUCCCCCAAACGGCCUCUCAGUUCGGAUAGUAGUCUGCAACUCGACUACUUGAAGUCGGAAUCGCUAGUAAUGGCGGAUCAGCAUGCCGCCGUGAAUACGUUCCCGGGCUU
rnacentral:rRNA from 1 species